rnacentral:rRNA from 1 species
UGGGGCCUACGGGAGGCAGCAGUGAGGAAUAUUGGUCAAUGGACGAAAGUCUGAACCAGCCAUGCCGCGUGCAGGAAGACGGCUCUAUGAGUUGUAAACUGCUUUUGUACAAGGGUAAACCUGAAUACGUGUAUUCAGCUGAAAGUACUGUACGAAUAAGGAUCGGCUAACUCCGUGCCAGCAGCCGCGGUAAUACGGAGGAUCCAAGCGUUAUCCGGAUUUAUUGGGUUUAAAGGGUGCGUAGGCGGUUUUAUAAGUUAGAGGUGAAAAUUCGGGGCUCAACUCCGGACGUGCCUCUAAUACUG